GUGCUUGCUUUGGCAAUAUACAAACUAUACUGUGAAUGAAACGGAGAAGACUAGCAUGGCUUCUGUGCAAGAAUGACAUAAAAAUUUGUGAAAUGUCUCACAAUUAC